GAUGAACGCUGGCGGCGUGCCUAAUACAUGCAAGUCGAGCGAACAGACGAGGAGCUUGCUCCUCUGACGUUAGCGGCGGACGGGUGAGUAACACGUGGAUAACCUACCUAUAAGACUGGGAUAACUUCGGGAAACCGGAGCUAAUACCGGAUAACAUGUUGAACCGCAUGGUUUAACAGUGAAAGACGGUCUUGCUGUCACUUAUAGAUGGAUCCGCGCCGCAUUAGCUAGUUGGUAAGGUAACGGCUUACCAAGGCAACGAUGCGUAGCCGACCUGAGAGGGUCGACGGCCACACUGGAAGUGAGACACGGCCCAGACUCCUACGGGAGGCAGCAGUAGGGAAUCUUCCGCAAUGGGCGAAAGCCUGACGGAGCAACGCCGCGUGAGUGAAGAAGGUCUUCGGAUCGUAAAACUCUGUUAUUAGGGAAGAACAAAUGUGUAAGUAACUAUGCACGUCUUGACGGUACCUAAUCAGAAAGCCACGGCUAACUACGUG
rnacentral:rRNA from 1 species